rnacentral:rRNA from 1 species
UACGGAGGGAGCUAGCGUUGUUCGGAAUUACUGGGCGUAAAGCGCACGUAGGCGGCUUUGUAAGUUAGAGGUGAAAGCCCGGGGCUCAACUCCGGAAUUGCCUUUUAAGACUGCAUCGCUAGAAUUGUGGAGAGGUAAGUGGAAUUCCGAGUGUAGAGGUGAAAUUCGUAGAUAUUCGGAAGAACACCAGUGGCGAAGGCGGCUCACUGGACUGGUAUUGACGCUGAGGUGCGAAAGCGUGGGGGAGCAAACAGG